rnacentral:rRNA from 1 species
GACGAACGCUGGCGGCGUGCUUAACACAUGCAAGUCGAACGGAAAGGCCCUGCUUUUGUGGGGUGCUCGAGUGGCGAACGGGUGAGUAACACGUGAGUAACCUGCCCUUGACUUUGGGAUAACUUCAGGAAACUGGGGCUAAUACCGGAUAGGAGCUCCUGCUGCAUGGUGGGGGUUGGAAAGUUUCGGCGGUUGGGGAUGGACUCGCGGCUUAUCAGCUUGUUGGUGGGGUAGUGGCUUACCAAGGCUUUGACGGGUAGCCGGCCUGAGAGGGUGACCGGCAACAUUGGGACUGAGAUACGGCCCAGACUCCUACGGAAGGCAGCAGUGGGGAAUAUUGCACAAUGGGCGGAAGCCUGAUGCAGCAACGCCGCGUGCGGGAUGACGGCCUUCGGGUUGUAAACCGCUUUCGCCUGUGACGAAGCGUGAGUGACGGUAAUGGGUAAAGAAGCACCGGCUAACUACGUG